rnacentral:sRNA from 1 species
GGGCGAUAGGUGCGCGUGCCUAGUGUGCGUAAUGCCAUGAUUUCGCUGCACAGCGCAGUGCGUACUUCGCGCGCGGUCAUGCCACUGAUCUCCAGCGUGCUGAUCAAGGCGGCAAAACCGUCCCAGAAGGCGCU